rnacentral:tRNA from 1 species
AGGUUAAGUCAUUGAAAAUACAAAAGCCGCUGCCAAACCGAUGGUGAGCGUGAUGAUAACCUCCACUCAAAUGGAU